GAUGAAGAACGCAGCGAAAUGCGAUAAGUAAUGUGAAUUGCAGAAUUCCGUGAAUCAUCGAAUCUUUGAACGCACAUUGCGCCCCCUGGUAUUCCGGGGGGCAUGCCUGUCCGAGCGUCAUUGCAACCUUCAAGCGCGGCUUGUGUGUUGGGUCUCGUCCCCCGUGGGCGGGCCCGAAAGGCAGUGGCGGCGUCCCGACAUGGUGCCCGAGCGUAUGGGAAUCCUCUUCCGCUCGAAUCGGCCCAUGCGGCGCUGGUCGUAACCAAAUUUUUUACCGGUUGACCUCGGAUCAGGUAGGGAUACCCGCUGAACUUAAGCAUAUCAAUAAGCGGAGGA
rnacentral:misc_RNA from 1 species